UAGACGGCGGUCUCCUGAAAAAGCCUUGGAUCCGUGCGGCACGGGCUCGCCUUAUCAACUGAACCACUCGGUAAUAUAUCACGACAACGAAGGUCGCUUUGCUUCUCUUUGCCUCAAACAGGCUAACAGAUCGAAACUCAAUUUUUU